rnacentral:rRNA from 1 species
AUGAGAGCCGUGACGCCGCCUUCAAGAAGGGAACGAGGUACGCCGCCGCCGGUCUGUUCGAAGAUAGAGCAGGUUUUCACUCCAACCACCAUUCACCACCGCCGAACGGCACACCCCGGUUACCAUGCCGCCCACACGGCCAUGGCAACCAGGCAACACCAAGCCACGGGCUCUGCCCAUGAGCACCGCGGACCCACCACUAGGGCCGCCCGCCCCGGCAUCCAAGACCUUGACACCAACUCACCCGAGAUCCGCCGCUAUCCCAACCAACAACACGAGCGGAAAGGACCCGUCUUUCGCAUCCCUGGGCUGCCCCCAGUGUCGAGACCCAAUAGAUCGACCAAGACUGGCCUUCAUCGCCCCGUCCAGCGACACCGGACGCGAGACGAGCUCAGUCCUGCUGCCGGGCGCGAGAUGAGCAUGGUCCUGCUGCCGGGUGCGAGACGAGCUCGGUCCUGCUGCCGGGUGCGAGACAAGGUCAGUCCUGCCGCCGGGCGCGAGACGAGCUCGGUCCUAUUACCGGGUGAGACGAGUGAUGGACCGCAGCUGGGGGAGGGCCAACCAUCGACGAAGAUAGUGGACGAACGCCCGAGGAGAAGGAUCGAAGGUCGACACAAGCCGCACACCGACGGGCCGACGCUGAAGAAGUCCAGUCGCCGUCGUGAACGACUCAGACCACUGCCAGGAGCCACCACCUCGAGCGAAGGAGGAGAAGAUCAUGGCAGUCCACCAUCGCACCGCCACCACCACCUACCACUGCAGGGCGGCCGCCCGCGGCCCAAGCCGCCCACGGCUCGCGCCGUCACAGGGCCGAGCAAGCAAGCCCGCGGUCACCCGCCCGCCUGGACGCACACCAACCACCGCCGCCGCCACGCCUCCAGCUCUGCCAGACGCCGGCCAUGGCGGAGCCAAACGUCCAUGACCCAAGCAGCAUGCUGCCCCCGCCACGCGUCGGGCCACCAGAGCCAAAUUCGCCGGAUCUGGACAGGACCGUCACGCGCGUUACCGCCAGAGAAGCCACGCCGCAGCCGCCGUGCGUCGUAG